rnacentral:rRNA from 1 species
GAUGAACGCUGGCGGCGUGCUUAACACAUGCAAGUCGAACGAAGCACUUUUGAUUCUUCGGAAGAGGAAGUGACUGAGUGGCGGACGGGUGAGUAACGCGUGGGUAACCUGCCUUAUACAGGGGGAUAACAGUUAGAAAUGACUGCUAAUACCGCAUAAGCCGAUAGAGUCGCAUGACUUAGUCGGAAAAGAUUUAUCGGUAUAAGAUGGACCCGCGUCUGAUUAGCUAGUUGGUGAGGUAAUGGCCCACCAAGGCGACGAUCAGUAGCCGGCUUGAGAGAGUGAACGGCCACAUUGGGACUGAGACACGGCCCAAACUCCUACGGGAGGCAGCAGUGGGGAAUAUUGCACAAUGGGGGAAACCCUGAUGCAGCAACGCCGCGUGAAGGAAGAAGUAUUUCGGUAUGUAAACUUCUAUCAGCGGGGAAGAAAAUGACGGUACCUGACUAAGAAGCCCCGGCUAACUACGUGCCAGCCGCCGCGGUAAAAC